CUUGAUCGAACCCAACCACAACGGGUCACCGGAACGGUCCUGACCGUACGUAGCGAGCAGGGCCUGUGCCUC
rnacentral:antisense_RNA from 1 species